rnacentral:tRNA from 1 species
UCCUCCGUAGCAUAACGGCAGUGCAAUGGACUGUUAAUCCAUCAAGUCCUGGUUCGAAUCCAGGCGGGGGAGCCA